rnacentral:rRNA from 1 species
AUGAACGCUGGCGGCGUACCUAACGCAUGCAAGUCGAACGGGGGAUAGGUAGCAAUAUUUAUCUCUAGUGGCAAACGGGUGAGUAACACGUGGGCAAUUUGACCUGGAGUGGGGAAUAACGAACCGAAAGGUUCGCUAAUACCGCAUGGUGUCGAGAGACUAAAGGUUCUCGAAAGGGAAUCGCUCUAGGAGGAGCCUGCGAUCGAUCAGGUAGUUGGUGAGGUAACGGCUCACCAAGCCGACGACCGAUAGCUGAUCUGAGAGGAUGACCAGCCACACUGGGACUGCGAAACGGCCCAGACUCCUACGGGAGGCAGCAGCGAGGAAUAUUGCGCAAUGGAGGAAACUCUGACGCAGUAACGCCGCGUGGGGGAAGAAGACCUUCGGGUUGUAAACCUCUUUUGGUGGGGACGAGUGAGGACGGUACCCAUCGAAUCAGUCUCGGCUAACUACGUGCCAGCAGCCGCGGUAAGACGUAGGAGGCGAGCGUUAUCCGGAUUCACUGGGCGUAAAGCGCAUGUAGGCGGUUCUGUAAGUGGUGUGUGUAAGCCCCUGGCUCAACUGGGGGAGGUCAUGCCAGACUGCGGGACUGGAGGGCAGUAGAGGCACGUGGAACUCCCGGUGUAGCGGUGGAAUGCGUAGAGAUUGGGAAGAACACCGGUGGCGAAGGCGACGUGCCUGGGACCUUGCACUGACGCUGCAAUGCGCGACAGCGUGGGGAGCAAACAGGAUUAGAUACCCAGGUAGUCCACCCUGUAAACGAUGAACGCUAGCCGUUGGGCGAGCUUACUCGUCAGUGCGCAGCUAACGCAGUUAAGGCGUUCCGCCUGGGGAGUACUGAGCCGCAAGGUUAAACUCAAAGGAAUUGACGGGGGCCCGCACAAGCAGGUGGAGCAUGUGGUUUAAUUCGACGCGACACGCAGAACCUUACCAGGGUUUGACAUGGUCCUGUAGCUCGGAUCGAGAGAUGGAUUGUGCCCCGCAAGAGGCGCAGGAACAGGUGCUGCAUGGCUGUCGUCAGCUCGUGUCGUGAGAUGUUGGGUUAAGUCCCGCAACGAGCGCAACCCUCGUCCUUUAGUUGCCUAUCAUUCAGUUGGGCACUCUAGAGGGACUGCCGGCUGACAAGCCGGAGGAAGGUGGGGAUGAAGUCAAGUCAUCAUGGCCCUUACCCUGGGGGCUACACACGUACUACAAUGGCGCGUACAGAGGGCUGCAAACCGGGCGAGGGUGAGCGAAUCCCUAAAAGUCGGUCGUCGGUUCCGGAUUGGAGUCUGAAACUCGCCUGCCAUGAAGUCGGAAUUGCUAGUAAUCGCGGAUCAGCAUGCCGCGGUGAAUAUGUUCCCGGGUCUUGUACACACCGCCCGUCACACCACUGGAAGUGGGUCAUACCCGAAGCCGGUGGCCUAACCCGCAAGGGAUGGAGCCGACGAAGGUGAGGGAUCGAUGAUUGGGGUG